GAGCUGAAAAAAAAAACCGAAGCACGACUGGAACUUUGUCCGAAAAGUCUUGGUGAAAGGAAAGGGCAACAUCCUGCCCAGCCUCCACAUCACAGAAGCUGUCGUCCCUUAAAGUUGACACGCAGAUGCCAUUGGCUCAGGAGGACAGCAUCGACUUCGUUAUUGGUCAUCAAAGGACGAUGGAAAGGCCUCUUCGGAGUCUACAUGGGGUCUGCAGUGAGCGAGGACGAGGGAAGAAAAGGAUGAAGGAUGUGCGGCGGCACCUCUCCCAGAAACUGGCGGAUUGCCAGAGAAAGUAGAACAAUGCUCAGUUCGAACUAUAAAAAAUUUGAAUGACAUCCCCUAGGCAUUUGUUGACUUCAUUACCUGGCGGCUUUGUAUGUUUGUCUAACAAACGAGCCCUUAAUUAACUCCUCUUUUGUUCAUAGUAGAACAUGUAGUUUUACAGAUUUUUCUAUGGACAGAAUCAAGUAAAAGGCAGAAAAAACUUGUAACACUUCAUUCAAACAUAUGGUAAUACACACUCCAUUCAUUAUAUGAUGCCAUAUUUAAAGCACACCCAAACUAUGGGCUUGAAGUGUGACUGGUGUGGCCG